rnacentral:rRNA from 1 species
GACGAACGCUGGCGGCGUGCCUAACACAUGCAAGUCGAGCGGAGUCGAUCGACGGAAGCCUUCGGGCGGAAGAUGGUUGACUUAGCGGCGGAUGGGUGAGUAACGCGUGGGCAACCUGCCUCGAAGACCGGGAUAACAGCCCGAAAGGGCUGCUAAUACCGGAUGUGGUCAAGGAUCCGCAUGGAUUUUUGAUUAAAGGGGAAACCCGUUUCGAGAUGGGCCCGCGUCCUAUCAGCUAGUUGGUGAGGUAAAAGCUCACCAAGGCGACGACGGGUAGCCGGCCUGAGAGGGUGACCGGCCACACUGGAACUGAGACACGGUCCAGACUCCUACGGGGGGCAGCAGUGGGGAAUCUUCCACAAUGGGCGAAAGCCUGAUGGAGCGACGCCGCGUGAGCGAAGAAGGCCUUCGGUUGUAAAGCUCUGUCUGGAGGGACGAAGGAAGUGACGGUACCUCCGGAGGAAGCCACGGCUAACUACGUGCCAGCAGCCGCCGGUAAUAGUACUCUAU